rnacentral:rRNA from 1 species
UACAGAGGUCUCAAGCGUUGUCCGGAAUUAUUGGGCGUAAAGCGCGCGCAGGCGGUCCUUUAAGUCUGAUGUGAAAUCCCGUGGCUUAACCACGGGCGGUCAUUGGAAACUGGGGGGACUUGAGUGCAGAAGAGAAGAGCGGAAUUCCACGUGUAGCGGUGAAAUGCGUAGAGAUGUGGAGGAACACCAGUGGCGAAGGCGGCUCUUUGGUCUGUAACUGACGCUGAGGCGCGAAAGCGUGGGGAGCGAACAGG